GAGCCGGCUUGGAACUGCAAGGCUUCUAGGGAACAAGGAAGACAAGGAGGAAAUCCACUCCUCUAAAUACUGCUCCCUGAUUGCGUCCAAUUGGAACCAGCUGGAGGCUCUUCUGGGCUGGAGACUCUGAGGAGGAAAGCUUCAUCUGGUCUGUUCCUGUUUGGCUGUGACUCCAUCCUGGAGAGAAAUAUCAGC